AUAGGUGUCUGCAGGUAAUGAUGGUGGCAUAACAAUUACAACAGGAACAUGAAGAUGUUGUGGCCCGAAAAUAUGUUUUAUUUGUUCUUUGCUGUUCCUUGACAUUCUGACACCCUGGCAGAUAAUUAUGAACAUGCAUCACUUUGUUCUUGCUGAUACUAAAAUAUAUGUGCCGUCUUGAUGUAAUUUCACCCAGUCUAGAAACAGAUCUUUUUGGAGCUCUUUGUAAUCCUUUUUAUUUUAGCAACCAACCAGUUACGUAUCAUUAGCAAAGCUGUUCACUACAUUGUCUACAUUUAUAAACUCCAAAUUGUUUAUAAAAAAUUCAAAAAGUAUCAGUCACAGUAAGAUUCAAGGAGACUCUAUUUUGAUUGCCUCUAAUUUAAGCAUUUCUCUUAUUCUUGUUCUGUGCUUUCUGAUCUUUAAUCUAUUUAUCAAUCUAAGAGAGCCCUUGACCUUUUAUAUCAUGGCUGCCAAGUUUGUUCUGCCUUUAAAUGAGAGACUUUAUCAUUUAUUUUUUUUAAAAAAGCAAGCACAAUAUAUCUCUUCAAUCAUCCCAGGUUCUCCUGACAAAAGCCAUGCUGGUACUUUUUCGACAAGGCAGUCUUCUAUAUGCCACUUUCCCUUUAAUUAUAAAUUGUAGUAUUUACUCCAAGCAGGCAUUAAGGUACCUGGCUUAUAAUUUUCUCUGUCCACUCCCUUGUUCCUUGUUCUAAAAAUCAGAUUUACAUUGGCUCACUUCCAUUCCUCAAAACACAUCAGUUUUAUAGAGAAACUGCAUAUUUUUACCAAAAGAUCAGCAACUUCACAGUUCAGUUCUUUAAAAACUUCGGGUAGAUAUUAUUGGAUCCAUAGAUUUCUUUUUUUGUUAGAUAGCUAGACUAUUAAUCCACUUUCUAGGUGCUUUGUCUAUCCCUUUGUGAAAAAGAUAGACAACCACAAGAAUCAGAUUAGCAUCCUCAGUGUGGAAACAAAGUAUUUGUUCAUUUUUCCUGCAAUUUUCUUUAUAUAUGUUUGAGUCUGUGUUGACUCCUGGACUAGUCCCUGAAAUUUUCUUGGCAAGAUUUCAGAAAUGGUUUCCCAUUGCCUCCUUCUUGGGGCUGAAAGGGAAUGGCUCAAAGUCACCCAGCUGGCUUUGUUCCUGAGACAAUAAUAUAAUUCAGUCGUUCAGUUGCUAGCCUGGAGAACCAACCUAGCUCUCUUCUUUUAGCACAGCUUUUGUGUCAUCCAAUAGCUUUCUCAACCCAUUUCCAGUUUAGAAUAUAUUUAAUAAAUGUUUUGUUGCUCACUUUUAAUCUUCUUUGCCACAGGUUCCUGAAAAUCAUUCCGAAUACUAUUUAUUUACUGCGGGUAUAUAUUUUUCCAAAAAGUGUGUUCUUUGUUUUCUUCUUAAUUUGGGUAAGGUUUGCAUUUUAUGAAGGAAGCUUGCAUGUCUUUGACAGCUUCUCUGAACACUCUGGUUUUCUCUUGCAUUUGUGACAUUCUUCCUUUAUCUAAAACAAUGGUUCAGUUGUCCAAAUUGCCCCCUUUGCCAGUCUUAAAUGAUGUCAUUACUCCCUCCCUCACCCCUUCCCAAAAAAGAUGCUGCUUGGCCACAGCAGUCCCAAAUCAGAUCCUCAGCUCACAAACAAGCAAUAACAAAUUGCUUCAUUACCCCCAACUUAAAUCCAAACACCCGAUUUAAGCCAUUGGUCUAAGAUAUAAUUUCUAACUGAAAAUCUAUUAUAUAUAUUGUUGUGUAUUCAGCCACGCCAGGGCAUAGCAACACGGAGACGCCUCCCAUUGGCUGAGGCAUGACAGCUCUGUCAGCGGGAAAAAUGGACACGUGCUAUUGGUCUGCCCUGUUUGACAGCUGCUAUAUAAAUAAUAGCAUGCCUGUUUGUUGCUGUUGCCAGUUCUGUACUUGUUAGCCUGUUACUGUUCCUGAUUACAUGAGUUAAGCUUCAGCCAUCUCUGCUUCAGUUACUUUACACCCUAGUUCUCCCGAACAGAACAUAUAUACUUUACUUUUUAAAAUUAUUUAGAGUGAUUGGAGAUUUUCAUUAUUCACUUUUGGUUAUCAAUCACUUUACAAUUUGCAAGCCUGUUCUUUGAAAUCAGAUAUAAUAGGGUUUGCUUGCAUAACAAUCCCUUUGUGUGAAAGUUAAAUGUAAUGCAAUGGCAUCUUUUACAAUCAAUUGAAUAAUGUGUAUAUUCCUUGCACUACUUGAAAUUAAGAGCAGGAUCAUGCCCCCUCUAAUGUACUCCUUGUGCAGCUGUUCUAAAGAAUAAUAAUUUGAUUUGGAUUAAUGCAACACUUUUAACCAGAUGUCAACUUUUUUCUACAUAGGCCAAAAAUCAACUCCAAAGAAAGAUAUCUCUAGGGUGUGGAGUCUUUUGAGGUCAGCCCAGCUAGAUGCUAUUACCUAAUUGGACUGUUGGAGCAAACUGAGUCAGUAUAAUAAACUGAAAGACAAUAAUUGGAAUAAUAGUACUUGAAAACUCAUGAUGAUUUCAACAAGCUACAUCAGAAACCAUUCCACUGUGUGAUAGUGAAGCUGACACUUGUUGCAGAAGAAAUAUGCAACAGAGCAUUUCUUAAAGUGUGAUCUAAGAAUCUUUGGAGGUUCCUGAAAAUCUUCUCCAGAGUUUGUGAGCUCAGAAUUAUUUGCCAGAUACUGAAGAUAUAUGCAAAAAAUUUAAACAAUGAGUUUUCAUUAUUAUGUUUUACUUGUUAAAAACAUGGGAGUUAACGUAAAACAUUUUAUUUACGUUGAUAUUUAUUCUAUUUAAUAUUGUGCAUGAUUCAAUAAAUAAAUAUUGUAUGAAUGUGUCAAUUUUAAUUUUUAACAUAGUAAGUAUCAAUAAAUAUAACCCAUACUGACAAAAGCUCUUUUGACGUUUUCCAUAAUUUUUAAAAGUGAA